rnacentral:rRNA from 1 species
AGAGUUUGAUCCUGGCUCAGAAUCAACGCUGGCGGCGUGCCUAACACAUGCAAGUCGAACGCGAAAGGGGCUUCGGCCCUGAGUAGAGUGGCAAACGGGUGAGUAACACGUGGGUGACCUACCUUCGAAUGGGGGAUAACGUCCCGAAAGGGACGCUAAUACCGCAUAACAUCCUGCUUUUGAACAGGUGGAGAUCAAAGCUGGGGAUCGCAAGACCUGGCGUUUGAAGAGGGGCCCGCGUCUGAUUAGCUAGUUGGUGAGGUAACGGCCCACCAAGGCGACGAUCAGUAUCCGGCCUGAGAGGGCGGACGGACACACUGGGACUGAGACACGGCCCAGACUCCUACGGGAGGCAGCAGUGGGGAAUUGUUCGCAAUGGGCGCAAGCCUGACGACGCAACGCCGCGUGGAGGAUGAAGGUCUUCGGAUUGUAAACUCCUGUUGCCCGGGACGAAAAGCUUCGACCUAACACGUCGAAGUCUGACGGUACCGGGUGAGGAAGCCCCGGCUAACUCUGUGCCAGCCGCCGCGGAAUUAA